rnacentral:rRNA from 1 species
UGUGGUCUGCAACUCGACCACACGAAGCUGGAAUCGCUAGUAAUCGCGAAUCAGCAUGUCGCGGUGAAUACGUUCCCGGGUCUUGUACACACCGCCCGUCACACCAUGGGAGUCAGCAACGCCCGAAGUCAGUGACCUAACCGAAAGGAAGGAGCUGCCGAAGGCGGGGCAGGUAACUGGGGUGAAGUCGUAACAAGGUAGC